AGCGGCGCACGGGUGAGUAACGCGUACAUGACCUGCCUUUAAGACAGGGAUAGCCCUGGGAAACUGGGAUUAAUACCUGAUGUGAUAAUAUGUAUAGAGAUGUAUUAUUAAAGCUGAGGCGCUUAGAGAUGGGUGUGCGUUUGAUUAGCUAGUUGGUAGGGUAACGGCCUACCAAGGCGACGAUCAAUAGGGGGCGUGAGAGCGUGGCCCCCCACACGGGUACUGAGACACGGACCCGACUCCUACGGGAGGCAGCAGUAAGGAAUAUUGGUCAAUGGACGGAAGUCUGAACCAGCCAUCCCGCGUGCAGGAUGAAUGCCCUAUGGGUUGUGAACUGCUUUUAGCAGAGACGAAACGCCUUCAUUUAUGGGGGUCUGACGGUAUCUGCGGAAUAAGCACCGGCUAACUCCGUGCCAGCAGCCGCGGUAAUACGGAGGGUGCAAGCGUUAUCCGGAAUCACUGGGUUUAAAGGGUGCGUAGGCGGAAUAUUAAGUCAGUGGUGAAAGCCUGUCGCUUAACGAUAGAACUGCCAUUGAUACUGAUAUUCUUGAAUUGGGUUGAGGUUAGCGGAAUGUGACAUGUAGCGGUGAAAUGCAUAGAUAUGUCAUGGAACACCAAUUGCGAAGGCAGCUAGCUGGGCCUUGAUUGACGCUGAGGCACGAAAGCGUGGGUAGCGAACAGGAUUAGAUACCCUGGUAGU
rnacentral:rRNA from 1 species